GAUGAACGCUGGCGGCGUGCCUAAUACAUGCAAGUAGAACGCUGAAGGAAGGAGCUUGCUCUUUCCGGAUGAGUUGCGAACGGGUGAGUAACGCGUAGGUAACCUGCCUGGUAGCGGGGGAUAACUAUUGGAAACGAUAGCUAAUACCGCAUAACAGUAGAUGUUGCAUGAUAUCUACUUAAAAGGUGCAAUUGCACCACUACCAGAUGGACCUGCGUUGUAUUAGCUAGUUGGUGCGGUAACGGCUCACCAAGGCGACGAUACAUAGCCGACCUGAGAGGGUGAUCGGCCACACUGGGACUGAGACACGGCCCAGACUCCUACGGGAGGCAGCAGUAGGGAAUCUUCGGCAAUGGACGGAAGUCUGACCGAGCAACGCCGCGUGAGUGAAGAAGGUUUUCGGAUCGUAAAGCUCUGUUGUAAGAGAAGAACGAGUGUGAGAGUGGAAAGUUCACACUGUGACGGUAUCUUACCAGAAAGGGACGGCUAACUACGUG
rnacentral:rRNA from 1 species